rnacentral:lncRNA from 1 species
AUCAUAUUUAGAAUUUUCAUAUGGGACAAGAGGUUUGGCUAGAGAUGCCAGUACAAACUAUAUUAGUUUUGCAAAAAUACCUAUAUUCUCAGCUAUUAUAUUAAUUAGUAAAUAGUAUUUAAGUUCAUGUAUGUGAAUUGAACAAAACAUGAACAGUUUUAAGCAUAUAUUUUCAUCUGUUCUUAGGAUCAAUCUAUAAUCCACAAAACUGAACAUCUACACAAAGAACAAUCAAAAGCAAAUAAUUAUGCUACAAAUCAAGAAAGUACAAAAGUAUUGGUAGAUCUUGCCUCCAGAAGAUUUAUUAACAGGCUGAAGGAAGAGAAAAAUUAUUGAUACAGCAGUCAUGUAACCAAGUUAAUUUUCAUUUAAGAUAUUUUUAGAGCUGUUCAAAAAUAGAAAAAUGGAGACUUUUCAAGAUUUAGAAGACAAUCCAAGCGUAAUAAACAGUAUUAAAACUUUAUUGGUACCCAAAUUAUCUCACUAUAAGCUAUUAACAUUUA